GAUGAACGCUAGCGGCAGGCUUAACACAUGCAAGUCGAGGGGCAGCGGGGAGGAAGCUUGCUUUCUCCGCCGGCGACCGGCGCACAGGUGAGUAACACGUAUGCAACCUGCCCCUGUCAGGGGGACAACCCGCCGAAAGGCGGGCUAAACCCGCGUACAUGCCACCGGGGCAUCCCGGAGGCAGGAAAGGCUUCGGCCGGACAGGGAUGGGCAUGCGGCGCAUUAGGCAGUAGGCGGGGUAACGGCCCACCUAACCGACGAUGCGUAGGGGUUCUGAGAGGAAGGUCCCCCACACUGGUACUGAGACACGGACCAGACCCCUACGGGAGGCAGCAGUGAGGAAUAUUGGUCAAUGGUCGGGAGACUGAACCAGCCAAGCCGCGUGAGGGAGGAAGGUACAGAGUAUCGUAAACCUCUUUUGUCAGGGAACAAAGGCGGGGACGUGUCCCCGGAUGAGUGUACCUGAAGAAAAAGCAUCGGCUAACUCCGUGCCAGCAGCCGCGGUAAUACGGAGGAUGCGAGCGUUAUCCGGAUUUAUUGGGUUUAAAGGGUGCGCAGGCGGUCUGUUAAGUCAGCGGUCAAAGCCCGGGGCUCAACCCCGGCCCGCCGUUGAAACUGGCAGUCUCGAGUUGGAGAGAAGUAUGCGGAAUGCGCGGUGUAGCGGUGAAAUGCAUAGAUAUCGCGCAGAACUCCGAUUGCGAAGGCAGCAUGCCGGCUCCACACUGACGCUGAGGCACGAAAGCGUGGGUAUCGAACAGGAUUAGAUACCCUGGUAGUCCACGCAGUAAACGAUGAAUGCUGGCUGUCCGGGGGGAUUGACCCCUGGGUGGCGAAGCGAAAGCGAUAAGCAUUCCACCUGGGGAGUACGCCGGCAACGGUGAAACUCAAAGGGAUUGACGGGGGCCCGCACAAGCGGAGGAACAUGUGGUUUAAUUCGAUGAUACGCGAGGAACCUUACCCGGGCUCAAACGGGGGGUGACUCAGGCAGAGACGCCUGUUUCCCACGGGACACUCCCCGAGGUGCUGCAUGGUUGUCGUCAGCUCGUGCCGUGAGGUGUCGGCUUAAGUGCCAUAACGAGCGCAACCCCCGCGUGCAGUUGCUAACAGAUAACGCUGAGGACUCUGCACGGACUGCCGGCGCAAGCCGCGAGGAAGGCGGGGAUGACGUCAAAUCAGCACGGCCCUUACGUCCGGGGCGACACACGUGUUACAAUGGGUGGUACAGCGGGAAGCCAGGCGGCGACGCCGAGCGGAACCCGAAAUCCACUCUCAGUUCGGAUCGGAGUCUGCAACCCGACUCCGUGAAGCUGGAUUCGCUAGUAAUCGCGCAUCAGCCAUGGCGCGGUGA
rnacentral:rRNA from 1 species